UACGUAGGGUGCGAGCGUUGUCCGGAAUUAUUGGGCGUAAAGGGCUCGUAGGCGGUUUGUCGCGUCGGGAGUGAAAACACCGGGCUUAACUCGGUGCUUGCUUUCGAUACGGGCAGACUAGAGGUAUUCAGGGGAGAACGGAAUUCCUGGUGUAGCGGUGAAAUGCGCAGAUAUCAGGAGGAACACCGGUGGCGAAGGCGGUUCUCUGGGAAUGUCCUGACGCUGAGGAGCGAAAGUGUGGGGAGCGAACAGG
rnacentral:rRNA from 1 species